AGUCCUUGCAGGAGCAGUCCUGAGCCUGAGUCCUGAAGGCAAGCCUGGCUUUUAACAUCCCUUAACAUAAAGUAUUAGAGCUAAUAUAAAUUGAUCUUAUAAUAUUCUUUUCUGUUUUUUUUUUUUUUAAGAACUCCUUCAUCUGAAUAGGAAAAAAUACCUCAGACAUUUCCUAGCAAACUCUUUCAUCCUGUCUCCUGUUGCUUCUACAGGGAUUUAAGCCACUAUAGUGCUUUGAUAAUCUGUAUGAGACCUGCAUAUAUCACUUACUUCACCAGUUUAUUUGCAUGGAUUUUUCAAUGACCAUAAACUUCAAAAGACAUUUAGGAAAAGAUAAAACAGUCCUAGUUCUACCAGACAUACAUAAAGUGACACAAUGAAUCAAGAUUAGCUGGAGGACUCUUUUCAGGAAUGCUAUUAUUUUGCCUUAACAUUUUGUAUGGGAGAAAAGGAAAUUACUGGCAAAAUCAUCAUGCUUGGAGAAAUGAAAAGUGUAAUUUCCUAGAGAAGAAAGGUUCUGUUUAUGUUACAGCGGGAGAUGAUAAUAGGAAGGGAACUGAUUUGACUACACAUGGAUUUCUACUGCUAUUUGGACUUCUCCAAGGAUAGCGCAUCCGGUGUACCCUUUCCUGCCAUCCAAUAAGAGGUUGGGAGGUGGAGGAAGCGAGCAGAGAAGAUCGAUGCAAGAGAUAAAGAAAAGACAGGAGCAGGAAGGUGAAAACAACAAAGGGAAUCAGAAUAGAUAUAUUUGGGAUAAGCAUGGGAACUUCCACAAGAUGCAAUCCUUCAUGAACUGCUCCAACAUGGGUCCUUCUCAUAAGCUUCAGUUCUUCAAGAACUUCUCCAGAAUGAGUCCUUUCUGAUGGGUACAGUACAUCAGGAAUAAACCUGCAUGGGUCUACCAUGCCACCACAGUUCUUGCCCUGCCACAGAAGCUGCUCUUGUGUGAGUUCCUCUCCAGAAGCUGAAGUUCCUGCCGGGAAACUUCUCCAGUGUGGUCUUUUCACAGACUGGACCUUCAUUCAGAGGAUCCACCUACUGCGUGUCCUCCAGCACCUGGAGUACUUUUUUCCCCUUUUUUAUUCUCUGAGUUUGGUUUUUGUAGCUUUUUUCUUUUUCCCCCUCACAUGUAUUUUCUCUCUCACAGUUGCUGCUCAGCAUUUUUUUCUUUUUAAACUAUGUCUUCUAAGAAGUGCCACCAACUUCACUGAGGGUCUCACCUGUGUCCAGCACGGGUGCAGCUCCUGCUGUCUUCUCAUAGAGGCCACCUCUGCAGCCCCUUGAUAUCAACAUCUUGCCAUUUCCACCCAAUAAAUAAAUUUUAAUCAAGC
rnacentral:lncRNA from 7 species